rnacentral:rRNA from 1 species
AUUGAACGCUGGCGGCAUGCCUUACACAUGCAAGUCGAACGGCAGCACGGGUGCUUGCACCUGUUGGCGAGUGGCGAACGGGUGAGUAAUACAUCGGAACAUGUCCUGUAGUGGGGGAUAGCCCGGCGAAAGCCGGAUUAAUACCGCAUACGAUCCACGGAUGAAAGCGGGGGACCUUCGGGCCUCGCGCUAUAGGGUUGGCCGAUGGCUGAUUAGCUAGUUGGUGGGGUAAAGGCCUACCAAGGCGACUAUCAGUAGCUGGUCUGAGAGGACGACCAGCCACACUGGGACUGAGACACGGCCCAGACUCCUACGGGAGGGAGCAGUGGGGAAUUGUGGACAAUGGGCGAAAGCCUGAUCCAGCAAUGCCGCGUGUGUGAAGAAGGCCUUCGGGUUGUAAAGCACUUUUGUCCGGAAAGAAAUCCUUGACUCUAAUACAGUCGGGGGAUGACGGUACCGGAAGAAUAAGCACCGGCUAACUACGUG